GGCUGACCAAUCAGGUGUGCCUGUAGAAAGUGAGAGGAGAUCACGGGUCAGUAGAUUUUACCAGGGAAUGGUUUGAAAUUAAAACAAAGAAGAAGAAGUAGGUGAAGCUGCUGCACUGAGACACCUGAAGUAGGGCAGGUGAAUUUAAGUACAGGUGGAGAGGAGCAGCACAGAAGUCCAAGCAUGUUCACGGAUGUGAUGAGCACCUGCGCAUUACUCACGCAUAACUGCUUUUUAUUAAUUGACGGGGCGGACGCUUGCUGACUGGCGACGAUGGAGGAGGAUGAGAGGCCUGAAACAAAGACCAGAUGUCAGAACUGAAACAGGCAGAUUCGCACACGCCACUCAUUAAAAGCAGCUGCAGGCUCAGUGGGGUGAAGUGGG